CCAAUAGCGUAUAUUAAAGUUGUUGCAGUUAAAAAGCUCGUAGUUGAAUUUCGGGGUUAGUAGGUUGGUCAUGCCACUGGUAUGUACUGGCCUCACUGAUUCCUCCUUCCUGAUGAGCCGUAAUGCCAUUAAUUUGGUGUUGCGAGGAAUCUGGACUGUUACUUUGAAAAAAUUAGAGUGUUUAAAGCAGGCUAACGCUUGAAUACAUUAGCAUGGAAUAAUGAAAUAGGACGUUCGAUCUUAUGUUGUUGGUUUCUAAGAUUGACGUAAUGAUGAAUAGUGUUAGUUGGGGGCAUUAGUAUUCAAUUGUCAGAGGUGAAAUUCUUGGAUUUAUUGAAGACUAACUACUGCGAAAGCAUUUGCCAAGGAUGUUUUCAUUAAUCAAGAACGAAAGUUAGGGGAUCGGAGACGAUCAGAUACCGUCGUAGUCUUAACCAUAAACUAUGCCGACUAGGGAUCGGAUGAUGUUAAUUUUUUAAUGACUCAUUCGGCGCCUUACG
rnacentral:rRNA from 1 species